GUCCACACCUGGGAUCCAAACUGGGGAAGCCCAGGCUGCCGAAGUGGAACAUGCGAACUUAACUGCUGCGCCACCGGGCCAGCCCCUACAAGAAUGUUGAAGGGGUGCUGAUUGCCAGCUAAGAGGAAGAGGUGGCGUUUGAAUUCAGCCUUACAAGGUGAGUGGUGGUGUUAUGGGCUGAAUUGUGUUCUCCUCAAAUUCAUAUGUUCAAGCCCUAACCCCCAGUACCUCAGAAUGUGACUUUAUUUGGAGGUAGGGCCUUUACAGAGGUGAUGAAGUUAAGUGAGGCUUGCUAGCGUGGUCCCUAACCCAGUCUGACUGGCGUCCUUCUCAGAAGAGAUUAGGACACACAAGGAGACACCAGGAUGCACACACGUGUGGAGAGACCAUGUGAGGAUGCAGCGAGAAGGUGGCUGGCCAUCUGCAAGACAAAGAGAGAGGCCUCAGGAGACCCAAACCUGCUGACACUCUCAGACUUCAAGUCUCCAGAGCUGUGAGAAAUUUCUGUUGGCGAAGCCACCUCAUCUGCGGUAUUUUGUUAUGGCAGCCCCAGCAGACUAACACAGGUGGGACCAGGACAUGGGGAGAUGGGGAGAAGGGCAUUCCAACUAGAAGGGACAGCUUGCUGGUCACAAGAGUCGAUGUGCAGUGGCCGGAGCCAGGGGAGGCACGUUUCAAGGACUGGAACUCGACAGAGCUGGGUCACCCUGGGGUCAGAAGGGACAAGGGCUGUGAAGAGGCUCCAGGAUUUGACAUAAGGUGCUCCUUGGGGCCCGUGAAAGUUGGGCAGUAUAGAUGGGAGGUGGGGAAGGUAGCAAGAAGGGGAAAGAGUGGGUGGUGAGGUGGGGCAGGACUCGAGGGGAGGAAAUGCUUUUAGGAUGUUUGAGUGUGAAGGGACAGAGACACAGGAGGGCAGUGAGCUCAAGAGUCGGUGCUUUCUGUAGAUCAUGGAGAAGAGGACGAGAAGAAGAGAGAUUAAAGAUGCGAGAAAACCCAGCCCCACUGUACAUAGUUGUAUAUUCUUGUUGUUGGUCCUUCUGGUCGUGCUAAGUGGGACGCCGCCUCAGCAUGGCUUGAUGAGCAGUGCCAUGUCCGUGCCCGGGAUCCGAACUGGUGAAACCCUGGGCCGCUAAAGCGGAACGCGUGAACUUAAACCACUCGGCCACAGGGCUGGCCCCUUAAUUUUGUUUUUUAAUGAUGUAAAUGUUUUACAUGAUUCCGUUUACAUCCUACAUGACCCCACAUCUCCUCUCCUAGGUGUUUCCCCCGCAGAAAGGUGUACACGUGUGCAUCAAAAGAAUAGAAAUUCCACGAGGAAUUGUGUGUUUUGUUCACUGCUGUCUUCCCUGAGCGUAGAAUUGUGCCUCGCACAUAGCAGCUCAGUAAAUAUUUGAUGAAUGAAUGAACGAACUCUAAUACAGCAAACAGACAAAGUACAAGAACAGCCUCCUCAGGGCAGUUUACGUCUUCAGUGUUUGGCCUGGACAUUUGUUUGAGGAACCCCUGAAGUGCUUCUGCCCAGCCAAGAGGGUUCCUCGGAGAAGAGUUUCAAAAUGACUGCUGAAGGCAAAUGGGAGCGGCUGAAAGCUUUUGAAGGAUUUAGCUCUUGGCUCACUGUCACUCUCUCGAACACUACUCCUGUCACAGUCCCUGGAAGAUUAGCCCUGAGCUAACGUCUGCUGCCAAUCUUCCUCUUUUUGCUGAAGAAGACUGGCUA
ensembl:lncRNA